rnacentral:rRNA from 1 species
UACGGGGGGGGCAAGCGUUGUUCGGAAUUACUGGGCGUAAAGGGCUCGUAGGCGGCCAACUAAGUCAGACGUGAAAUCCCUCGGCUUAACCGGGGAACUGCGUCUGAUACUGGAUGGCUUGAGAUUGGGAGAGGGAUGCGGAAUUCCAGGUGUAGCGGUGAAAUGCGUAGAUAUGGGGAGGAACACCGGUGGCGAAGGCGGCCAUCUGGACGGAUACUGACGCUGAGACGCGAAAGCGUGGGUAGCAAACAGG